AACGAACGCUGGCGGCAUGCCUAACACAUGCAAGUCGAACGAGACCUUCGGGUCUAGUGGCGCACGGGUGCGUAACGCGUGGGAACCUGCCCUUAGGUUCGGAAUAACUCCCCGAAAGGGGUGCUAAUACCGGAUAAUGUCUUCGGACCAAAGAUUUAUCGCCUUUGGAUGGGCCCGCGUUGGAUUAGCUAGUUGGUAGGGUAAAAGCCUACCAAGGCGACGAUCCAUAGCUGGUCUGAGAGGAUGAUCAGCCACACUGGGACUGAGACACGGCCCAGACUCCGAGGGGGGGAAGCAGGGGGGAAAAUUGGACAAGGGGCGAAAGCCUGAUCCAGCAAGGCCGGGGGGGUGAUGAAGGCCUUGGGGUUGAAAAGCUUUUUUACCCGGGAUGAUAAGGACAGUACCGGGAAAAUAAGCCCCGGCUAACCCCGG
rnacentral:rRNA from 1 species